CCUACGGUGGGCAGCAGUGAGGAAUAUUGGUCAAUGGCCGGAAGGCUGAACCAGCCAUGCCGCGUGAAGGUCAGUGCCCUAUGGGCGUUAAACUUCUUUUGUGCGGGAGCAAUAAUGGUCACGUGUGGCCAGACGAGAGUACCGUACGAAUAAGCAUCGGCUAACUCCGUGCCAGCAGCCGCGGUAAUACGGGGGAUGCAAGCGUUAUCCGGAUUUAUUGGGUUUAAAGGGUGCGUAGGCUGUGAGGUAAGUCAGCGGUGAAAUGCCCCCGCUCAACGGGGUGAAGUGCCAUUGAUACUGCCUUGCUGGAAUGCGGAUGCCGUGGGAGGAAUGUGUGGUGUAGCGGUGAAAUGCGUAGAUAUCAGGAGGAACAUCGGUGGCGUAAGCGCUUUACUGGGCCGUAAUUGACACUGAGGAACGAAAGCCGGGGUAGCAAAUGGGAUUAGAUACCCCUGUAGUC
rnacentral:rRNA from 1 species